rnacentral:lncRNA from 1 species
UGCAAGAGUUCAAUAAAGAAGUUUAUUUUAUUCUCAAACCACUACUUUACCACAAGUCUCACUGUUCAACGCUUCAUCUGAUACUCUUCCUGCUCUCAAUUACUCUUUCUCACUUGACUUCACUCUUGAAACCCAAUUCAUUUCCACAAGCUCUUCAAGCAUGGCUGCAAUACCCACUCACAUCAAAGCCUGGGCCUACUCAGAACAUGGCAAGAGCGUUGAUGUUCUCAAGUUUGAUCCCAACUUGCCUUUACCUGAGUUGAAGGAGGAUCAAGUCCUCAUCAAGGUUGCUGCUGCAUCCCUUAAUCCCAUUGAUUACAAGAGAAUGGAAGGGGCGUUUAAGGCCUCAGAUUCCCCUUUACCAGUAAGUCAUUCAUUCCCUACUUUGCCAAAUGGUUUUACCGUUGGAGUAUGCAUUUGAAUUUCCAAUGACUUCAACCUGAAUCUACGUCGAAGUCAACGUGUCAACAUACAACAUGGUAUAUAAAUUAUAGUUUCAUAUUGUGAUAUCAUUUUUAUAUUGUGAUAUCAUUUAUGUUUGCAUACAUUUAUAAAAAAAAUAUUGUUUGAUAGGAUAAUGUUAUGAAAUUCAGUUGUAAAAUCAGAAUUAAUUAUGUCUAACGUAGAAGCAACUAUAAUUGUUGUGGCAAGUCGAUUCAAUCUAUGGCCCAUGAACUCAAUAUUACUUGGUACGCCCAAAUAUCUUCAACUAGUUAGAAUUGAUUUUAGCCUAGAAGAAUUGAUUCAAUAGAAUUACUUUUAACAAAGUAGAACUGAGUUUUAAGCAACUCUUUUUUUUCCUUUUUCUUUUUCCUUAAGGUUUCCAUGAUUUUUAUUAUUUAAUUUUCUCUGUGGUGGUUUCUUUAGACUGCUCCAGGGUACGAUGUUGCUGGAGUGGUGGUUAAGGUGGGGAGUGAGGUGAAGAAAUUUAAGGUUGGGGAUGAAGUUUAUGGUGAUAUCAAUGAGCAAGCUAUGGUAUAUCCAAAGGUGGUUGGUUCAUUGGCUGAGUAUACAGCUGCAGAAGAGAAACUGUUGUCACACAAACCGCAGAAUCUGAGCUUUGCUGAGGCUGCUAGCCUUCCUUUGACAAUUGAGACUGCUUAUAAUGGCCUUGAAUUAGCUGGCUUUUCUGCUGGGAAAUCUAUACUUGUGCUUGGAGGUGCUGGUGGAGUUGGAACCCUCAUUAUUCAGGUAUCAAUAUUCUUUUGAGUUUGAGGGGAUAAAAUAAUGAUUGAUUAAUGCACUCAAAAUUAGAAAAUACAUAAUCAGAGCAAAAGUUACUAUUUUUGAUAUAAAAGUAAGUAUACAUCAUGACACUCCCACUCUUUUGAUUUGUCUCUUUUGUACUAAUUAAUGAGGAAAUUUUAAGUUUGGGGACCAUGUUUGUCACCCACCCCUUAAAACCUCAGCCACUAAAAUAUGACCUUGAAACAGUAUGAGUAUGACCUUCCACCAUAAUGCUAAGACUUAAGAGAGCAAUUAUUGCAUGGGUUUUAUAUUCACAAUCUGUCAAAUUUUAAUUUAUAUUAAAAUAUUUUGAUAAUGAAGUUCAAAUGUUCAAUUAAAAUAAACUUAAGUUGCUUAACACAAUGCAAUAUUCAUUACUCACAACAUUUAUUUAUUGGGUUAUCUAAAUCACCUAAAUAUGAGGUAAAAUCACCCUAACCUAGGUAACCCAGUAAUAUUUUGACAUGUGUCUUAGGAAAUUCCAGCUCAUGACUCAUGUCAAAAAUAUUACUGGGCCACGUAAGGCUAGAGUGAUUUUCCCUCAUAUUUACUUGUAGUGAUUUAGACAACCCCUUAUUUAUUUACUCUUCUGUUCUGUGGAAUUUGCUGUUUGUAGUUGAGUUAUAUUAUAUCAACAACAUCGUUUGAAGUCAAUUAACUAUCCCAGCACUUCAUGACUGCUUACAUUUUCCUAUACCGUUCUCUAUUAGUAUUUUGUUUUGCAUAAUUUAUAUUUUUUGACUCGCAUAAGUUAUAGGUAGAAAUCAGAGUACAAUAGCUUAAACAUCCUAAUUGAUAUUUCAUGUCAAGUAUAGUUGAUAAUGACUUAUUGAUGCAGCUGGCAAAGCAUGUUUAUGGCGCAUCUAAGAUUGCAGCUACAUCCAGCACUGGGAAACUAGAAUUGUUGAGGAAGUUGGGAGCUGACACGCCUAUUGAUUAUACAAAGGAGAACUUUGAAGACCUUCCUGAAAAGUUUGAUGUUGUGUAUGAUACAGUGGGUAAGAAUUUGAUCCAUAUUUUGCUUUGAGAAGGUUGGUAUAAUGCUUUCUAAAACUUGUUUUCUUGAAAUUGAAAACAGGUCAGACUGAGAGUGCAUUCAAGGUUCUAAAAGAAGGAGGCAAAGUUGUGACAAUAGUACCACCUGGACUUCCACCAGCAAUCUUUUUCGUGCUCACUUCUGAUGGGGCUGUCUUAGAGAAACUGAGACCUUUCUUGGAAAGCGGCAAGGUAAAGCCAAUACUUGAUCCCAAGAGCCCGUUUCCAUUUUCGCAAACUGUGGAAGCAUUUUCAUAUCUGGAAACAGGCAGAGCCACUGGAAAAGUAGUCAUCCAUCCCAUACCAUGAACUUGACCACUUUAAUUUUAUUCUAAUCUAUAAUGCAGCUGUUUGUGAUUUAAUAAUUGUGGUUAAGAGUGAGAAAUACUUUGGUAAACAUUCUUGUAUUGUCAAUAAAAAUCUCUUUCUAGUGUGGUUGCAAUUGUCUGGUAAAUGUAAUAUAUAGUUUGUAUGUUCUGAUUAAUUAAAAACUGCUGCAAGAACAUGUGAUAGGUAUCAAUGAUGAGCAAGGAACAAAGACUGCAUUUUAAUUCAAAGAAUGCUACUAAACUACACAAAUUCUCUGGUAUUUGAGAGACCAGAGAACUCUCUGCAAAUACCCAUUACAAUCUAGAUGUCCCACUUAUUCUCCUCACCCUCUCAUUUAUAGUCACUCCUCACACACUCUAUAACAAACUUACUGGCUAAUUGUUAUGCUAACUAACCCUCACUUACAAUUACCUACCAAUACUUCCACUGUGAACAUUCACCUUAUCCUCAAGGUUAAAGGAUUGAGUACAAAGCUUAAGAAUUGAACAAUUCUCUGCAAAAGUCCAUACGAGCAAAAAUUCACUUGGAUCCCAUUGCUUAAAGCACUAUGGAUUCUUUGGUCCCACUGCUAUGUAACACAUCAAUUAUUAUUAUUUGAAAAUAUAACAUCAAUUUGUUGAGCAGUUGAGUUCCAUUGGUCAACAUUCAACCCCAUUUAUUUAUGAAGUGUUGAUCCAUAUAUUUUGUCUGUGCCGAAGAGCUUGGUUGUCGUUGUGCUUAUUUAAUGACUUCAUGAUCUCUUGCCAAUUUGAUGUGUGCUUCCUGUCCUGGAUUUUUCAUACCCGUGUGAACAUUUUCUACACCAACACUUAGUUUGAUUUGACUUGCUUCAAUAUUUUUUUUUAUAAGUCAAACUUGUAUUAAAAGGAAGUAAAGGGUACUCCAACCCAUAAUACAUAGACACCAAACAUUGAAAGUAGAAAUAAUCAAUCUAAAGACAUAGUACAAUGAUAAAGCAAAUGUAAAAAGAUCACAGCCACAUAGCUAAGAUCUUAUAUUGGCACAAAACAACAACAGUCCUCCCCCCACUCAACCUUGCCCAAGAACCGCUAUUUCAUUGGUCGUGUCAUGCUGAAUCAUGUCCUUUCGGAGACAAGUGUUAUUAGUUUAUGUUAGGAAAUAACACACCUGAAGAAGUAAAAUAAACCAGGAGCGCAAUCAACAACACAAGAAUAUAACGUGAAAACUCCAAAAUCGGAGAAAAAACCACGGCCGUUGUCAAAACCGACAACCAGAAAAUAAACACUAUGUGAAAAUUGUUACAACACAUAGACUUCACUCUCAACCACUCCAUGACCCCAGUACACCCACACUCUCCAAAGUAAAUAUUUGAACUAUAUCUCACAAUGCUCUAAACCAAGAGCAUAAGAGAAAAAGAAAACACAAAUAUAAACUUAAAGUGUUUUCAGGUGCUACAUCUUUGGUGUUUUGGUGUGUUGAAACAAGGAGCUUGAGAUCCCUAUAUAUAGUCUUGGACCCUCCCACCCCUCACUAAUCUAAGCGAUGUGGGACUUCUCCAAGAUGUAUAACUUGAUCUUUUUUUCUCCUUCAUUAGCAAUGUGAGACUUACAUUGCAAUCAACCCCAACACUUUAGUCACAAAUGAGCAUUUUCUUCACAUGGCACAUGACAUCUUUUCGCUGAAUUCGUGCCUGUUAUCAGCGACAUCAUGAGGCCUAACUCAACUCAACUUAAAAACUAGCUCUUAUGGUUGAGUUAGACUUUCUAAAUUAUUAUAUUGUAUCGUCUAUUUUAGAUCUAUUUGUUGGUGGAGAACUCUUAUGUUUAGAUCACUCCACAGAUGUCCCGUCUUACAUUCCUUCCUCCACCUCUUUCCACUUUAAAGAGGGGUGUGAAGACAACAUUAUUCUUCUAAUAAUAAGAAAAGGUCCAUAAGAUUCAUAAGUAACUCGAGGUGUUUUCAGAUCGCAAGUAUCACGUUAUCUUUCUUUAUAAAGUUUAUGGCCAGUGGUAGCCAAGAAAACAUACCACAAACGAUGAUGUUGACUAGAUGUUCAAAAGGCCUACGUCUCUGUAUCCGGACUGUUUCUCCUCAAAUUGUAAAGCUUGAACUGCACACCGCACAAUAAAGAAAUUGAGUAAUGUUACUUAUACACCUCUUUUUAAGAUGGAAGAAGUGGAAUAGAAGAGAUUUAAGAAAAAAAAAAGUAAGAGAGAAAGUAUGAGAUAAAGUAUGAGAUAUGAUUGAUGAUAAGCAGGGCCGGCCCAAGAGUAAAGCCACUCAAACAAGAGUUUUAGAUCUCCUGAAAAAAAAAAUUACUAAAGAAAAAAGACCUCAAUUUUUUUUUUACUUAAUAAAAAAGCUCAAAAAAACCAAGCAUUAAUACUAAGUUAAAAAUGCCCAAAAAAAACGUCUCACUUUAAAGUUGGUUUUAUGCCUAAUUUAGUGUUGGGUCGCCCUAAUAAUAAAAUGAGAGAAAUAAAAAUAAAAAUAGGUGUAAAUGAAGUGGUUAAAAAAUUAUAUCCUAUCCAAAUGCAUGAAUUCAAUAAUGAAGUUAUUUUAUUGUCGGACUAAUAGUACUACUUUACCAAGACACUCACUCUUCAAUUCUUCAUCUCUUAUUUCUCUCUCUUCAAUUCUUCACUCUUUUCAAGCAUGGCAGCAAUACCCACUCACAUCAAAGCAUGGACCUACUCAGAAUACGGCAAGAGCACUGAUAUUCUUAAGUUCGAUCCAAACGUGCCUUUACCUGAGUUGAAGGAGGAUCAUGUCCUCAUCAAGGUCGUUGCUGCAGCCCUUAAUCCCAUUGAUUAUAAGAGAAUGGAAGCUUUGUUUAAGGACACAGAUUCCCCUUUAC